ACAACCGCAGAUGGUACAAAUAAUCCAGCAACUCCUAAGUGGGUUGAAGUCAAGAGCCAUGUACAAAGCGGAGGGUAUGAGUGUGGCUACUACGUGAUGCAUUGGAUGUGGAACAUCGUCGGUGGGGGUUUAAAGAAUGAUUGGAGCAUGUGGUUUCUUGAUGGAACGGCGUUAGACAACGAAACAAUUACAACGAUUCGCCAGAAAUGGGCAGCAUAUUUUCUUAAAGUUCAAAGCAUUCAAUGUACAAAGUCUUAGUUGACAUAGGAAAUCUUUUGGUUAUUGUGAACAUUACUGAGACAAA